rnacentral:rRNA from 1 species
GAUGAACGCUGGCGGCGUGCUUAACACAUGCAAGUCGAACGAAGUGGCGGAUGGGCGAGUAACACGUGAGGAACCUGCCUUUCACAGGGGAAUAACACUGGGAAACCAGUGCUAAUACCGCAUAGUGAAAGAUGGCCUCGCGCCUGAUUAGCUAGUAGGUGAGGUAACGGCUCACCUAGGUGAUGAUCAGGAGCCGAACUGGAGGAUGAUCGGCCGCAGUGGGACUGGGACACGGCCGAGAGUCCUACGGGAGGCAGGAGUGGGGAAUAUUGGGCAAUGGCGCAAGCCUGACCCAGCAACGCCGCGUGAAAGAAGACGGUCUUCGGAUUGUAAACUUCUUUAGACAGGGACGCGGUACCUGUAGAAUAAGCCACGGCUAACUACGUGCCAGCAGCCGCGGUAAUAC